rnacentral:lncRNA from 1 species
GGCAAAUGGAUGGAACUAGAAGAAACCAUCCUGAGUGAGGUAACCAAGACACAGAAGAAAAACAUGGUCAACAAUAAAUGUAUAGUUUCCUGAUGAGAAGGCAACAGUUGAAGGUCAUAGGUCUGCAUCUAUUUCCUAUUGAACAGCUUUGCUGGUCACAAAAGCACAGACCUCAGUUCUAUUGUUCUCAUCAUAACUCAAGUCACCACUUUCUCUUCAAAAGAUGUAAACCCAAGACUAUGGUGUUCUCCCCCAAACUCUGAACUUCACCAAGAAAUCAACUUUUGGGUUUUUGUUCCUUUGUUUUUUUCCUGGAUACUGGUUCUGAGUAUUCAGCUACGACAGUUUGGUAUACAUUGGAAUGGAAAUUAUAUGAGACAAUUAUCUAUGGUAAACUGCAAUCGCGAUGCUGCA